ensembl:lncRNA
GGCCGCCCCGCCUCUGAGGCGCGACUCGCAGUCGCAGGGCGGCAUCGGGCUCGGGGGCGAAGAGAAAAACUGAGCGAAGCGUGGGAAGUGGGGUGCGGGGGGAAGGAAGGCUGCGAAGCUGUCUGGAGAAGGAACUGCGUACCUUCUCAAGGGAAGGCCCCUCAACAAGGAGAGGGUUAGCGUGUGACUCUGCCCUGUGAGAAUCGCUGACAGAGAGAGCUCGGCGGGGACACAAAGGGGACAGAAAGAGGUUUUCAGUGGCACUGGCAGAAAGAAGCAGAAGUGUAGUCCUGCCGUGCAUCAGGAGAGCGUCUGAAGUGAGGCCUCACACCUCUGUUCGCCAUAAGAAGCUUCCAGGCUGUGGUGUGGCCGAGGCUGAAUGCAAAAUACACGUCACUGCCCGAAGUGGAAACAAAACCAAAGAGUUAAAUGUGCUAAAACCGAGGCAAUUGGUUCAUAUUUUACUCAUCAACUCAGGCCGGGGUUUGGACGAGUGAGGGCUGGUAAAUUCGUUGAGUUGGGAAUGUUGCCAUCUGAAGAAAAAUAGACGGGGAAGAGAGAAAGAUGAGCAGAAUGAGCGCCAGUCACAUACGAGACUUCAGAACAAACUUUGACAGUUAAAGUCAUUUUAAUAUUGAAAAAAAGGAGGAUGAAGUUAACGCGAGACAUCACUCUUUUUUUCCUUUGUCUGUAUGGACGUGAAGAAGACGUUCAGUAAAUUGUCAUGUGGAAAUGACCAGCAAUCCGUAUGGGAUGGGGAUUUUCAGUAGACCAGGGAGGUGGGUGGCACCCAGACACAGAGACGAAAUUGGGUAAUCUGGCAAAUUUUUGGAGGGGUGGCAAGAAGAAAUUAAGCAGAAAACACUAUUUCGAAUGGAUUUUAAAUGGGGUAUAGAGAUUAGUCACAUGUUACCCAAUUCUUACUGAACUUGCCACAUUAAAAAAAAAAAAAAAAACAUGAAGUGGUGAUGGUUCAGCUUAAGAACAGAUGACAAAACUGAACCAUGGCUCAGUCCAGAAAGACUUUGUUCUCUGUGCAACAGGAAGAGUACCACCUCCUCAAGUCAUAGCAGGCAUAUCUGGCAUUGCCACAGAGGAACAGGAAAAGUUAGCCACAGAGGAUUAAAAUCUGGGGAGGGUGCUCCUGAGCACUACAUCAGCACAAGCAGGGCUGGCUGCUCGCCCAUCGAUCUGCACGCAUAUCUGUCCGCAGCAACACCGGCAGCCCGCAGUGAGCAACGCCAGCACGAAACGCCACGGUGCUGGGGGAGCACCACAGCCUCGGAGGGAAGGGAUGUGACACUGCAUUCAUCUUUGAGAGCAAACAAAUGGCAUCUUUAACUUGCAGAGGAGCCUAAGCGAAUCUGUGAGACAAACAGCAGUAAAAAUGCACGGUAGCUUUCCAGAUUUCUCAAAGCAAGCCUCAGCUAGACAGUGGAAAUGGCGAGAAUAUUUUAAAACAAAUGAGGACGUCGGUAACGCUGCUUCAUCUGCAUAGUGUAAGCAUCGCCGCUCUACUGACUCCAUCGAAACAAUCACGGAACCCUGAGCUUCUACAUCCUCUGCCACCCCACCUCCCCCCGAAGGAAGAGCGUGCUCUGUACUUCCCUCUCAGCCUAUAAAGGUGUGGCACUCCCGUGGGUGUUAUUGUCACUAAUCUCAUCAGACACGAAGAGCGAGGUUUAAAAAAAAAAAACAAAAAACCAACCACCUUUCGAUUCAGUCAGAAGGCAGCAGUAGCUGAAGCAAUUGCUGUGCCUCUUCCACAAGUGAUUUCCCUCUGGAGUUCACUGAAAUCAGCUGUGGCGAGGGGCAGAACCGGAGAGGGACCGAAUCACGAGAAAACAAAGAUCUAAAUAGAAUGAAGUGAAAGGCACCUUUCACAACCUGAGAACGAACAAAGAAAGGAAGUAGGAAACGUGCAGCUCAAAGAACUCCGUGCGCCCUCGUGUUUUUGACUUUUUCAUACCCUGGUUCCAGUCAAAAGAUGAGAUCUGUCUGAGAACGGGUGAGUCUUAACCUUGGAAGUGUCCAAAUCAGUAGCAUUUGAAUGGUCUGAUAAAAGCCCAAAACAAGAGACACACUGCUAGGAAAUCCAUUAGAAAAAAAAAAAAUAAUUUACACAUUCAGUUACACUUCAAGGGAGGAUGUUACUUUGUCCUUCACACAAAGGGCUCCAGUACGCUCAGUCUAAUUUGAGGUGAUCAUUACAACAGGGACAGUACAUUAGAGCUGAUGUAGUUAUGCCAAAACUCAGUAAUCCGUGGUACAUGGAAGACUUCCUCAACAAAGUACAGAGAAAAGAAAAAAAUAAACCCCAAAACCAGCAGGUUAGCAAAAGCUUGUUGACAGCCAAAGAACUGAAGUAGUGCUGUUCUCCAGCAGUACAAGAACAAACAGCCCAGGCAAUCUGGAGGAGAUUUGAAUUCCUUUGCAGACACAGACACAGCAGAGCGCGGGGAAGAAACGAAGGGUGUACUUUUCUUUGUCUUACCUCCGGAUCACAGGGGUGCAGGGAAUUCACACUGACAGCAGAAUCAAUAGUGAGGAGACUCCAAAGCAGUUUCUUCUUUUUCUUGAGUCACAACAAUUUCACGUUUUGUUGUGCUUUUUUUAAAGAACAAUUAGAUGAGAUCAUCAGAAGGUUUGGUACAUGCGGUGCAGACUGCUUGAGCUUUUCUUCCCAGUGUUGGUCAGCGUCAUAAUACUAUGAGGCAUAGUAUGCAAGCAAAACAAACCAGUGAGAAAGGCCGAUAAAGAGAGAAAAAUAUGUACCAUUGGCCUAAGAUACAGGAAAAAAUGACAUCCUGCACUUGUUAGGAUGGCAUGGGAAGUUCUGUGAAACAAGACACUUGGUCACUGCACUCUCCUGCUCCUGCCUCCACAUGCGUGUCUUAAACACUGCAGGAAAUUCCUGCUGCCUGCACCUCAUGACUCACCUUGCUCACAACAUUCUGCCUGCUCAGCAGUCUCUGGAG